rnacentral:tRNA from 1 species
GGAGCGGUGUCCGAGCGGCUGAAGGAACACGACUGGAAAUCGUGUGUACGGGUAACCGUACCGUGGGUUCGAAUCCCACCCGCUCCG